GAUUAGUUCCCUGGAACCAAACAAGGCCUUGGAGUCCAUGUGGCGGUGGACGGUGAAAAGUGUGGGAAAUGGGGUGGAGGGUAGUGGCGAUCGAGGCAGAGAGGAUGUGAAAGCAUGAUCAUUUGUGUGAAAAUAAUAUUGAAGUGUCCAAAUGUGCGGGCUCCGGUGAGGUUUAGAAGAGCCAUAUGUGUUGGAGUCCUACGCAAGGCAUGUCCAAAUGCCCACACACAUCUCCUCAGUUUUUGAACGGUUCGUAUAAAUUGGGAUGCACAGGCGCAUCCAUGAACGUUUGCAGGACAACAUUGGACGACAAAAAACGUUCGAUCACUGCACUCUGAAUGUUUAGGGCAGCUCCAACGGUACUAUUACAUAUUGAUCAUAGAACUGAAAAAAAAUAGAAAAAACAUUCAGACGU
rnacentral:lncRNA from 1 species